AUUUUUUCCAUGUCAUAUUUAUUUCCACUAUGUUUUCAAAGUUCCUAAGAAUAUUUUCCCUCCUCUUACUAAUAACCCAUACUUUGACCCGGAUAUCCGCCCAAACUUGCGGCUCUGCCGAUGUCUACACGCGCUCCGACGAUGAACUAAUUUUCGCCCAGUUUCCCCUUCAACUUAGCAACUCUAUCGCCUUAUUGGACGGCCCGGCCUCGGUCUCCGCCGCGCCGACCGAAACGGUCAACACGAUCACCAUGACCACCGCACAACUCAUUUACUACAACUACUUCUCGGCCUCGAUGUACUGCCCGACCACGCUGGUGACGUUGUCGUGCUGUUACUGCGGGAAUUUCAACGCCACAGUGACAGGUUUUGCAAUUUUUACGAAUGAAGAAUACGGCACGAAGGCUCUAGUCACGUUGCACAGAAGUUUGCGCGAAAUUGUGGUCACUUUCAGGGGGAGCGUCACCUUUAUGAAUUGGAUCAUGGACCUGACCCUCCUCCCGACAAGUUUCCGGAGUGGAAAUUCAUAGAGGAUUAUAUUUAAGCUUAAUGUCGCUUUACAACGAAGUUGUGGAAGAAGUUGGGAUUCUGCUUCUUCGAAAUCCGGGAUUUCAUGUCGUUGUAAACGGUCACAGCUUAGGCGCCGCGAUGGCGUCUAUAUUAAUAUUUCUGUUAACGAGUAUCAACCAAUUUCCGGGGACGCAGUAUUCCUUGGCGACAUUUGGUCAACCAAGGACGGGAAAUGUGGGAUAUGCCGAUUAUAUGAAUGCUCUCCCCAUUCCAAUGAGCAGAGUGGUCGCUAGGUAAAACUUUUAGAAUUUGCACACUAAAAAUCUACAGAAUUCUUUUCAAAUCAAUUUACAGGGCUGACAUAGUCCCUCACCUCCCACCCGUUAGCGCCCUCGGUGUCUUGGACAUUCUCCUCGGCAUCAAUUAUGUGCAUCACACUCAAGAAGUUUGGAUCAAUGGUGACGUUCCCCCGACUUUUUGCUCCAAAGAUGUUUACGAGGAUCCCACCUGUUCCAAUUCGCUCGGACCGUUGUAUUCCUUGCUGGACCAUGGCCAAUAUUUCGAUGCGGAUUAUUCUGUUUGCUACCUCGUCGAGGGAUGGUUGGACAUUGACCUCGUUACUGUGGAGGGCUUCACACCGACCAAUUUUAUCCCCCCGAUGCCCACCCUAAUGCAGGGCUUCCUCACAGGCGUAAUACAAGGCGGGUAUCAAGGCGCCUUACCGGCGUUAGGGUAACUAUUUGGUGCCCGUAUUUGGAUUUAUUUUUGUGCAAAAUCAGCCAAUUGUCGAGAUUACGAAAAUUGUGCAUGAUAAAUAUUAAAUGAAUUGAGAUAAACGCAA